rnacentral:rRNA from 1 species
UCGCCAGACUCCUACGGGAGGCAGCAGUGGGGAAUAUUGGGCAAUGGGCGCAAGCCUGACCCAGCAACGCCGCGUGAAGGAAGAAGGCUUUCGGGUUGUAAACUUCUUUUGACAGGGAAGAGUAGAAGACGGUACCUGUCGAAUAAGCCACGGCUAACUACGUGCCAGCAGCCGCGGUAAUACGGAGGAUGCGAGCGUUAUCCGGAUUUAUUGGGUUUAAAGGGUGCGUAGGCGGAAUAUCAAGUCAGCGGUAAAAAUUCGGGGCUCAACCCCGUCGUGCCGUUGAAACUGAUGUUCUUGAGUGGGCGAGAAGUAUGCGGAAUGCGUGGUGUAGCGGUGAAAUGCAUAGAUAUCACGCAGAACUCCGAUUGCGAAGGCAGCAUACCGGCGCCCAACUGACGCUGAAGCACGAAAGCGUGGGUAUCGAACAGGAUUAGAUACCCGAGUA